rnacentral:rRNA from 1 species
AUGAGUUGUUUUCUGCUUCCCAUUAGCGUUUGUGAAAAGGUAAGAAGAUCAAUUGCAGAUGGCAGAAGGAAACUACAUUGGAGAUCAUGGAAAUGGUUAUCUUCACCAAAGUUUCUAGGAGGCAUGGGAUUCAGGGACAUCUCAAUUUUCAAUCAAGCCAUGUUGGGUAAACAAUUUUGGCGUCUUUUAACUGAGCCCAACUCUUUAUGUGCCCGAUUGUUAAAGGGUAGGUAUUAUCCUGAUGGGGAUUUUUGGACUGCGAAGUGCCCGAGGUCUUCAUCUUACACAUGGCGUAGUCUGAUGUAUGGGAAGCGAUUAAUACAAAAAAGGCCUGUAGUGGAUAGUAGGAGAUGGCAAACAAAUACAUAUAUACAGGGACAAUUGGAUUCCAGAUGUGAUUCCCAGAACUCUGCAACCAACGAGUGA